ensembl:lncRNA
AGAUCACUCCCUUUGGAGCUCUUCUGUGAGCCCAGGAUAUGGGAGAAAUUCCUUUAGUCCAUUUCCAACCCAUAAAGAAAAAUGAAAAAUCCUCUACAGGAAAACACCAAUUUGUGUAGUGCACUGAAGAUGGCACUGUAGUAACAACUUCACCCUGUGAAUGAUAAGACAUCCUUAGCUCGUGUUCCUCGGUGGGAAGGAUGACAGUCACACGGGGCAUGGGGAGAAGUGUUAUGUGAGGCAUUUCUAGUGGAGACAGAAAGAAAUAGACACAAAAACGUGUGGCUGUGAAAGCGAUUCUGGCUGCGUUGCAUGCUGGCACUAAAGUGGAAACCAGCGUGGGCACCAUCUUCAGGCCCUGGAUGAAAGCUGAGCUGCUAAACACCAGCUCUGCAGCAUCACCCAAGCAGGGUGCUCCUUUCUGCACACAGAACUCCUCAGCUGCUUUCACUCUGAACCUUGCUUAUGUUUGCCUUCUCUGCCUGCCCAAUUCUUCUGACAAGAACAACUGCAGUUCCCUCUACGGAGAAGGAUGGAACGCUGGUUUUUGCUCAGGUUUGAAUGAUAACCAGCAGCUAAUCAUCUCUGUUUGUGCCUACAUCCUUCUACCACAACCUCCAGCUACAUUAAAACAGAAUGUGGGGUGAUAGAGAGAGUCACAAGUGAUGCAAGUAGCUCAUGGUAAGCUAAGGGCAUAUUUGAGAGAUACUGAGGGAUGAACUGAAGCAAUUUGUUCUGGAGGUCCAGAGAUGGAUUUUUUUGUUAGAGGUGACUUUGGGAUCAUAGGAUUGCUUAGGUGCUUGUAAAGCACUUAGCAAGCAAAUCAAUGAGUUAUGUGAAACAGGCUGAGCUGCUACAAAAAAUGUGUACUCUAACUUAUAUACUCAGGUAAACUUUUGGAGAUCUCUGUGAUGCAUUGGUCAUUAAUAGUUAAUGUAUCACGUAUUAAAUAUUUCAUUCUGUAUAGUUCUUUAAUGGAAAAGUGAUGGAUUGUGUUGUCUACAAGAAUCCAUUUAUAAAGAUCUGGUCGAUUUCUCCUUUUGAAAAAUAUUUAUAUCCAAUUUGCAGGAGGUAAAAUGUAUUAUGAAGAGAUUGGUUGUGCAGAUGUGUUGCCUUCUAAACUAAAGAAAGACAGGUCAGUAUCAGCAAGCAGUAUUUGUACAGCAAAAGGGCAGUCGUGAAACUAGUGAAACUACCACCUCCAUCUUCAUCAUCUCCAUGAUCACUCUGAGUUUGAGCCACUGCUUCUACCUCUCAUGGCUGAUGAAGCAGUGAUUACAUGAGGACUUGCAUUAGCAUAGGCUGUAGUGCAAGGAAGAUUCAGAAACUACACAGUGUCCUUGUUCGUGCUGAGCAGUGCAGCCACAUCUCCGCACCUUUGGGACUUAAAGCCUCUGCUACUAUAGUGCUUGUGUCCUUAAGACUGGAGCCACUGAAGCAGACCAAGACAGAAGACAGGAGAGAAGAAACACUAUUAGAAAGUAGUGUUGUGCAAUCAUUCUCCUUUUUUUUUUUUGUGUAGUGAUGUCACUUGAAAACUGUGUCACAGUCUCUCCUGUUUUUGUCAUCUCAUGUGGCCACCACCUCCCUUUGUCCCAUGCACAAAUCCUGGUAUGUAUUAAAAGCGCUCUCUCUUAGUUUGUUUCUCAAGCCUCCCACUAUGUGACAGACCAUGAACACUUUCCUUUUCCUCUUCCAGUAGUUUAUGCUCUAAAUCCAGCAGAGAGCUUUCUUAGGUCUUUAAUAGCAAGCUUAAGGUUAAGCAUUUGUUUAAGCACGCUGCUAAACUGUGUUCUGCUGAAUCUCAGCCAAAAGAAAACAGAUGGGCUAAUUUACCCUGAUGUUCUUCUGUGAGCCUUCAGGAGAGCUGUAAGAGCAGCAGCAUUGAAAGGUGUGCUCCAGAGCAAGUGAGAAGCAUAGCUAAGCAAUUCCAGGCCAGGAGGUGGCUUUGAUUUCCCUAGCAGGCUACAGAUUUGGGGAUCAUACUUGCCCUUGUUACUGCUCCCGUUCCAAGGAAGAAUGCCACCCUCUGUGCAAGGAAGUGCCAUCCAACCUGUGAGGCUCCCUUUUAUCUACAAGGUCAAGGAACAGCAGUCUUUGCUGUUUGUCACCAAGAAACAGCUGUGGCUGGACUGCACUCACACUUCUGAUGAUUUGGAAGGAGCGCAAACUGUUGAUGUAUCCUUAAAAGCUGUUCCCUUUUACUAGUUGCCUGGGGCAGGUGUGCCUACUCCUUGCUGUCCAUUUGCAUCUGUGACUUGCAGGAAGCUCACCCUCCAUGAAACCCACAGCUCCCUGCCAGUGAGCUGGAAGUGUUCUCAGUCUUGUCUUACCUCUGAGCGUGAAAGAGACAAAAUGCAGUGCUGGACCUGCUGCUCUACGACUCUGUGGAAUGGAUUGGUGGCAUCAGGAUUGGAGGCUGCUUGGGCUCUACUGACCACGCAAUGCUGGAGUUCAUGCUCUUGAGGGACACUGAUUGGCAAAGAUCAAAAAUCAGGAAGCUUAAUUUUAAGAAAAACAAAUUGCAGCUCUUCAGGGAGUCUGUCCUCAAGGACAAGGGAGUGGAGCAGAUCUGACAGGCCUUUAAGGAAGCUUUCUUCAGGGCACAAGAGUUCUCCAUCUCCUGGUGGAGGAAGUCAGGAAAAGAAGGCAAGAGACAGGCGUGUCUGAACUGGGACCUGCUGGUCAAACUGGAGAGCAAGAAUAAAAUGCACAGGCAGUGGAAGGAGGGACAGGUAACCUGGGAUGAGUAUUGGGAUGCUGCUAGACUGUGUAGGGAUGGGGUCAGGAAAGCCAAGGCCCAGAUGGAACUGGAUUGGCAAGGGGCACAAAGAAAGGUAACAAAGGUUUCUGUGUGUACAUCAAUGGGAAAAGGAAAGUCCAGUCCCCCUCCCCCCCCCCCCCCCAUCCUGAAAUGAGCAACACAGGUAACAACAGAGAAGGCUGAGGUAUUCCACAACUUUUUUGCCACAGUCUUCACUCGUGAAGCCCUACACACAGCCACUGGGUGGAUGGUUUGAAAGGUGGGAACUGGGGGAACAUCACCCCUCCUGUUAUAAGCAAAGGUCAGGUUUGCAACUGCUUGAGAAAAUUGAACAUCCCUAUGUCUAUGGGUACUGAUGAGGCACAUCUUGGAUUCCUGAGGGGACUGUCUGACAUAGUUGCCAAGCCAUUCUUGAUUGUAUUUCAGAAGUCAUGGUGGUCAGGUGAAGUCCCUGGUGACUGGCAAAGAGGCAACAUCACACCCAUUUUUAAGAAGGGUAGAAAAGAUGACCCUGGGAGGGUCACAGAAAUGAUCCAAGGGAUGGAACACCUCCAUUGUGAGGACAGGCUGAGAUAGCUGGGACUGUGCAGCCUGGAGAAAGGAAGGCUCUGGGGAGAGCCAGAGAGGUGGUAGAUGCCUCAUCCUUGGAGACACUCAAGGUCAGGCUGGACUGAGCUCUGAGCACUUGAUGGAGCUGUAGGUGUCUCUGCUCAUUGCAGGGGAGUUUGACAAGAUGACCUUUAAAGGUCCAUUCUAUGAUUUGAUAAAAAUGAAUAGUUUUAGGAUCAGCAGUUGCUAUCUGUGUCUUUAUGUCCUAAUACAACACUUAUAUAUUUUUAUUUAUAUAUAAUAAUCUGCCUCAGUUUCUACUUCGCAGAUUAAUGUCUUCUUCAUUCACUCACUUAUUCGUUUGUAUGUUUUAAUCAUUCAGUAAGCUAGAUUUAGAGAAGAUGCCUAGCUUAGACUACAAAUAACAAGUAAAGACACACAGACAAAAGAACACAACUCUUUCAGGACAAGGUCACCCAAAGCAACAUACCCUUCCUGCUGAUGCUUUCUGAGAGAUUCACAAGAGUCAUCAUGACCCCUUGUUUUUUCAGUAGAGCUGAACAGGCCAUAGCAGGGGACCACAGAGAGGAUAAAAAAAUAGCUCAGAGAAAAAAAAAAUGUUAAAUAUUAGAAUGUGCUACUUUGCAGUAAAAUUUAAACUAUUUUCUAAAUGUUUACUGCUAAACUACUAGAAGAAAUCUCAUUUUUCUUGCUGAAAACAAAGUAAUCUGUUUCAGGUUGAUAUGUGUGCCAAAGCCCUAUAUGUGUGUUGAUAUGUGUAGAAAUUUCCAUAGAGGGCACAUGAAAUUGAAGAUUUCCUGGAUUUUUCCAGAGUUUGAAGAAAAAUAAAACAAACAAAAGUCAGUACUGAUAAACUCCAGCAAAUGUCUUAUGUUGCUGAUUUCAGUAAGAACAAAUGAUCAUCCUACCUUGCAUAAUCCUCCAGGUAAGGUCAAGAGAAACAUAUACUAGAAGCCCUAACAUUAAUAACAUUACUUAUAUUUAUGGCAUAUUCCUCAUGUUCACAAUUUUGUCAUAUCCUUUCUUCUGUAUUUAAGUCAACGUGGACAAGUAUAUGAAUUAGCAGCUACAGAAGUCAACUGCUUGAAGACAUUGAUCAAAGCUGGAAUGUCAGUAGCAGGAGGUCAGUGCCUGCAGCAGCUGUGGGACAUGGUUCUUGCUCCUGCUCAAGUGCUGUGCACACUAUUUUAUGAUCUGAUGAUGGUCUGAAAAGAUGAAAGAUGAGGGAUUGCAGGACAGCUGCUCUUGAAUGAAAACAUGACAUUAUUGUUAAAAAAUAAUUCAACUUAAAGUAGCAGGAGAUAAAAAUUCCCCCUUUUCUCCACACCACAGCCACAACUGUGCUCAGAGCUCUUGCUGAAGGAUUUCCCUGAGCUUUACUGGCCUCUCAGUGGGCCCCUCUGUUUUUAGAGGUUAAACUUAAACGCCAUAUAAUCAGCAGCUCUUGUUGACUUGGAAUUACAGCAGGGUCUCAGGCAAUUUGGGAACUCCCAGCCAGUUGGAAGUGGCAGUGCAGAUGCUCGCUCAUGCAUUCAAACCCAUGCACAGAGGUGAAGGUUUUUGUUUUUGUUUUUGUUUUUCCUUUUAACAAAACCACUCUUACCAUACAAACGUGACAAGUUGCAAAGAUUUGUGAAGAAAGCAUUUACUUCACGGUUGGUUUUUGUUGUCCUGUGCCAUAUAAACACUGCAGCAUUAUGCAGCAUGUGCCUACUGCUUGCUUAGGAGCAAAGCAGUCUCCCCAAAUUAAACAGAUUUAUGCACUCAGGGGGAAAACUGACCAUAAAGAAAAGCCAUCAUUUGAUCCGUGCUAUUACAGUGGUUUGUUCAGUGGCUGAGUGAGGAACCGCACAGCUGAUGUCACUUUCCCACACUGGGUUUAUUUCUCAGUUAGCUCUGCUGCCAUGACUAGAUGUCAGCUCAGCUCCCAAACAGCAUCAUUUUUGUAUUUGUGUCUCACUGAUGAUUUCAGUUUUUACAGUUACACCCACCAACUUGAAGCACCCUGAUGUAAGGCAGUAUUUAAGGGCUCUGCACUGUACACAGCAGUGGGGAAUCAGCAAUAAAAACGUUCCUCUGCAGUGCUCACUUGUAGCAGGCAGGCAAUGCAGGGCUCAGUAAGAAGCAUCAUUUCAGUGUGCCUUUUUCCCCCCCCGGUUUAAACAAAUGUUACAGUGGGACUGCAAUGUGCCAAUUUACAGUACUUUACUAUGAAUAUUAUGAUAAUUGCUGUUUAUCUUAUAUCCUCUAUAUCCUGGAUCUGACUUAUUUUUUAAGAAGCUUAAAUGUUAUUAAUUUAAAGCAGCACAAUGAGCACCCAUCUGGCUUUCACGCCAACCUCAGAGCGGAAAGAGGCUUAACAGUCUCAUAACCUGGAAGGCUGAGUUGUGUGUGAAGAUAUUCCCGUUUCACAUCUUGAGAUUUCUCUACAGCAAAUCUUUUUUCAAGCCUAAUUCUCCAAUGCUGGAGGUUAACAACCUAGAAUAGUUUGAGAAUCGUGUAAGCCCCGCGGCCAGUUCUUGUUUGCACAGCUCCUGCAUUGAGCUGAAGGAGGGACGUUCCCCCGUCCGAAUGUGGCCGGAAGCAUCUGUGAUAAGUGUGAAGAAGGAAACCUGUGUGGUCAGAUGUACGGGGGAGGGAUGGGGUGAAGCCGAAGUUUGGCUCAGAGCUUCCGCAUGGGCCCCGUUGCUGUGGAAACGACGGCCUUUGUCUGCAGUGCUACCGCAUCUCUAUACGUUCGGAAGAGCCAUCUCUUCUCUGUGUCAUUAGGAGGGGUCUGAAACGAAGCUGAUCAAUUCAGCUUCUGUGCUAUAGACAGUAACUUAAAUUGUGUGCUUAAAAACAAGUAAUGAAUCACCCUUUUAUGCAGUGACAUAUAGUUCCAUCCCAACACCAUGCUGUGCUGCUUGGGGAGAAGAAAGGGAAGGAAUAAUAAAAAUGGAACUGUGCUUUUACAUUCGGUUGCUCACAACCUUUCCCAUGUCCUCCUUAUCCUCCCGAGCGUGCCAAUCAGUGUAUAUUCUCCUUCUAUUCAUCCAUUACUUUGUGAAUAAGAUACUUUUAUGUGAUUAUUUCUUAAAUUAAAAAGACUCAAGCUCCAAGAAGUAGAUGCUUCCACUUAGAGCACAUUUUCUCUGCUAUUUGCAGUUUGUUUGUGUGAGUGGCUGUCUGAUUGUUGCCCAGGCAACCUGAGCAGGCGUGAAUUUGAUUAGAUAUAGUUUCGCAGAUGUGGGCAGUGUUUCAAGCAUUGUUUGGUGUUUCUGUGUCUGUCCAAGACAAGUUUGUUAACUUUUAAGAGUUGUUUCUGUUUGAAGGACAGGGAAGAAAAGUCGAAGAUCUUGGUCAUUUUUAGCUGGAGUUAUCUCAGCUUGCUAGUUACUGCUUGUGGUAAGGGCCCACUUGUUCUUUUACAGAAGUCAUAUGGAUUUUUAGAAUAGAACAAGGAAAAAUGUGGAAAAAUUCCAGUACUGACAGCAGGGAGAUACGUAAAAGCACAAGCUGUUUUAUGGUCUCCACUAGAGCAGAUUAAAUUGUUAUCAUCACUCUAGCAGCUAAAAUCGUUAAAAUGUGGAGACUAGUUGGUCAUAUCGUGAUAAUAAGAGUAGCGGGAACAUAUUUUGAUAUUUAGCUAUGCACAGUCUGUUUUGUGAAGAGACAGCAUGGUACUUUAAAUGACGGCAGUGCUGCUCAGUGUGUUUAUUUUUUCCAGUGGAUGUGGCAGAUGUAAACAUCUGCUGGAUGCGUAGCUGGAGGACAGCAGUUUGACAUUCUGCAUGAGGGCUCAUGAUGAGCAAAGCUUACCUUCUUUUCCCUUAAAAAAAAAAAAAAAGCAGAAGUGGGAAGCAGAGUUCAGAGAUGAUAAAGAAAAAAUGAUCCCCCCCCCUGCACCUGAGCACCUUGGGCUUCAGGAUUCCACUCCGUCUAACAAAGACAUAAGCCUUCAAGGGAAUGUUUGGCUCAGCUUCCAGAUACAAAAUUCAAGGGAGCUGAGAUUUUCUGUUCUGUUUAAACUCUAGAAUAAACCGGAUUAACUAUUUAGCUGUGAGUACUGGCUCAGGUUUGCAAUGACCUGCAAACAGGCCUGGAAACAAGCCUUCCCUACAGUGCACCGAGUAACCUUCAGAGCUUUAUACGCUCUCUGCAAACGUGCAUCAAAAUUACUUUUUGUAAGCAAAUUAGCUCUUCUUUUAUGACCCCAUUCUCGAAAAUGAAUGAUUUGGCUGCCAGUACACUAUAAUUCAUACCUGGUCUGUGCUUUUAUAAAAUUGGAACCUUCUUCUGGAAACAUUUUUAUUUGUCUUUUUAAGGAAACAACUUCUGUGAUGACGCUGUCCAUCUAUAUGUGAGUCAGUUACUUGCUUGCAUUUGAUUUUCUUGGCAAACCAUAGCCAGAUUUGCAAAUAUCAACUAAUCUGAUAGCACAGAAAGAUCUGGAAGAAGUUCCUACACGUUCUGUUAAAAUUGGAAGCUGAGAGAAUGGGGAAGAGCCUUUAGUUAUAGAAAAACAGGGAGAACUCUGUUGCUCUCCAUUGCAUUUAGAGCAGCUGUGUAUAUAACCAAUCAGCCUUCAGGCAAAUUCUGCUAACAUAACACAAAGCAGAGGCAUCAUCACAAAAUAAUGACCAAGAGGAAGGCCGCAGGGACCAAAAGGAGCUGCUCUCAGAGCCUCCAGUAAUAGUGGGGUGGACUUGGGAACAAGCACUGCAAAACCCGCUGUGAUAGUCUUUGGAAAACAGGAGUUGUGUGGAGCACAAGCCAGAAUUUGUCUUUUCUGAUGCUCAAGAUAAUUUGUUUUACCACAUCUUCAGCUGUGAUUUGAUUCUUGUAAUGCUAUAAUGUGGUAGAAAGUAUAGCAAUAAUAGUGGGGUGGCAAAGUCCCAGGCUACAGCAAAUGAGGACAAGCCCAAGCACAGCAGUCACAGACACAGAAACAAGAAAAAAAAAAUCAUUUACCUUUGGAAGGCCUCAGGUAUGCAGGGAUUUCCAGCAAGAUACCCUUGAUUAUACUGCCAACCCUUAAAUGAGGUCUGGGAAGGGUUGGAUCCUGGCUCCACCCCUUCUGGUCACUCAGGUACAUUGCAUGCACCUGAGCUCGCCUGGGUUGGCCCUGCCUUCCCACUAGGUGCUCAAUCACUGCUUCAAGCUGUGACUUAGCAUUUCUGCUACACUCCUGGUUCUCUGUAAGGCAACUGAAAAAGCUGUACAGAUCCAAACCUCAUUAAUGGAUGACUCCUGCUGUCUUGAAUGGCUGUUGAACAGGGAUUUAUUAUUUUUUUUUUUUAAGGCACUUAGGAACCAAAGGAAAGAAACAGUAAUUAAGAAUAAUUGAAUAUCCAUAACCAGAAGGCUAGAUUUGUACUGUAGCUCAACCUCGGUUGCUGGUCAUUUAAAGGUAUAGCUAGUGAGCAAGCAAUUCUUAAAGACAGAGAUGAGAUUUUCAUCGAAAGGCUUAGGAGGUAUGCUGAAAUACAUCAUUAAAAAAAAAAAAAAAGCCAGAUCUUAUUUUGCAGGCUGCUGAAAGUAGCAAAGUAACUUAUGACUACUUUUUCUAAUAAAAUUUACUGUUUCUGAACCCUGACAAUACAGGCUUUGAUUUUCUGCAGAUCUGUUUCUUGUGCAUGUUAACUGAGAGAGCAUGAGAAUUAAUACUAUCCUUUCAGCUGAUAGCCACUAAGCGUUAAUCCUCUGUACUCUGUAGUCAGGUGGUAUUGUUUCAACAUCUACAAUAGAUAAGUCUCAACAUUUUUAUAUGACAGGUCCUAGGAGUGCACACUUGUGGGGCACGCUCCAUGCAUUACUGAAGAAUUUGCUUGUUCCCAUUCACAGAUUUGUGUUUGCUUUUUGUUGGCUUGCAUUUGUGUAAAGAACAGCCAUCUUCCAGCACAAGCAUGCUCAAAAGCCUGUUUAUGUGAUUGCUGAGAAGUGGAACAAAUACUGGAAUCUCCAUCCUGCUCUACCCCACAGAGCUGAGCAGCCCUGCUAAGUUCAUGUUGUUGUUCUCUGUUGGCCUGGCUGCAGGUACUAAUUGUGGCUGUUUGACCGAUUUUGACCCUAUUAAAAUAGAACCUGUUAUUUGAAAUAAAGGCGAAGGAGAGGCAUUGACAUAAUUCAAUAGAAUUUCAUCUUCUAUUAAAUGAAAUGGGAGUGGAUUUUGCUUUCUUAUUUGAGCUCUGACUGCUAAGUCCUUGGCAUACAAAGGCAAUUAUUCUGGUUCAAAUAUCCUUAUACUCCCAAAAUCAAAUACCUCCCCUCCUCCCCCCCAAUUUGUUUGUGAGGAAAGAAAUAAAUUGAUAUUUUGUUUCUUACUUUUUCUCAUCCUCUAGACUGACAGUUGAAGCACCAUAGGAGGCUUUAAAAGCCUGUGUAUCUAGAUGCAUUUCAUACAGGAUAGCUAUUAACUUGGCUUCACAGAAAUGGACUCAGAUAAAGAGUGAUAAGUCACAUGUUAGUAAUGGUUUAUGUCCUUUAAGAAAGGAACAAAGAAGCCCUGUCAGGGCUAUAGAUCUGGUACGUGCUAAUCGUACUGAGCAACAGAUCAUUGUUGCAAAUGUAAGGAUGCACGGACAAAAGCUCGUCAGUCCUUAUAAAUUGUCAAGCCAUAUAUAGUAUCUUGUACUCUUCUUUUAUGUUUAAGUCCCUUCAAGAAAGAAAUUACAGAAAUUACUUUUUAGAAGUAGUAAUAGAUAUCUGGCUUAUUAAGUACCUUUCUAGAAGAAUCUGUUUGACUUACAGGCAUAUGCAGAUGUGGAAACACUAAAAAGACUGAAGAAUAAAGCAAUUGGAGGUUGGAGGCUGUGCUUCAGACUUGCUCUACUCUGCAGGCUACAGUAUGAUUUCACAGGAAAAAGGUUCACUAUGCUCUUGCAUUUAAGUAGCAGCACAGAAUACCCAGUAUUUAGUCCUUAGAAUGAAUUGCUGCACCCUCUGCUACAGCCCUGUCCAAGGGUACUGAGCAAAGGCAAUGCCACAUCUAAAUUCUACUCUCUUUACACAGCUUCAGCACUAUGUCACACAUGCUGUUACUGUUUGGGAAACUCUUCAUCACAAAAAUGUUUCACUAUAACCCAAAAGUGGACUAAUGCUGUCACUGGUAAAACCACUUUUACUGGUCUAAAGAAACAGAUACAUGGUGUUAAAGCUAAAGAUUCAAUGUAAGAGUAACAGAAUAUGGGUUGUAUCCUUGAAUAUUUUUUGUACUUCUGACAACUCAAAAACCAAGCAAUAAGAUAUUUUAGCAGAACAGGAGAAACCUCUGAAGAAUUCAAGAUGUUUCAAAAAAUAUGCUGUAAUCCUAAAAAGUAAAUAAAUAAUCAAAAUACACAAAAUCAACUGCUGCCUUUGAUCUACAGUUGAAUAGUUUUUUCAUAAUCCUGGAUUCAGUUGCACCUGUUCUACCUCAGAACACAGAAGGCAACUAGAAGAUGUGGAUAUCAGUUCUCACUUAAAUGGACAGGUCUGCAUGCCAACUCUGGUAGGUCUCGUCCCUAGUGCCAUUGCUGCAGCGGGUCUCAGUCUGCAGCCACCACUGGGCAGCUCCAUCCCUGGGCACUCUCUCUGCACUGUGCAGGCUGUGAGCUGCCGCUGUGGGGAUGGAGCUGUGCAAACAGCAGGAGGAGUCAUUUUCUCUCUUAGCCACUGAUUAAAGCAUAGGGAUGAGGUGGGACUGGCACCACUGAUACCAGGUUUUUGUGCUGAGCAGGGAUUUCUGUGACACUGAAUUACCUGCGUGCUCUAAGACUCCCUAGUUCCAGAUUUGCAUACACGCAAAACAAACUAAUUUGUUACAGUAAAAAUAAACGCAAGCUCUGCAGUCCUCUUAUCUCGCCUAGUAGAUGACAUGGCAUUUGGGUGCUGCAGUAUCUAGGCUGAUAACAG